UUUAAAUUUAGAGUUUGAUCCUGGCUCAGGACGAACGCUGGCGGCGUGCUUAACACAUGCAAGUCGAGCGAUGAAGCUUCCUUCGGGAAGUGGAUUAGCGGCGGACGGGUGAGUAACACGUGGGUAACCUGCCUCAAAGUGGGGGAUAGCCUUCCGAAAGGAAGAUUAAUACCGCAUAAUAUAAGAGAAUCGCAUGAUUUUUUAUCAAAGAUUUAUUGCUUUGAGAUGGACCCGCGGCGCAUUAGCUAGUUGGUAAGGUAACGGCUUACCAAGGCAACGAUGCGUAGCCGACCUGAGAGGGUGAUCGGCCACAUUGGAACUGAGACACGGUCCAGACUCCUACGGGAGGCAGCAGUGGGGAAUAUUGCGCAAUGGGGGGAAACCCUGACGCAGCAACGCCGCGUGGGUGAUGAAGGUCUUCGGAUUGUAAAGCCCUGUUUUCUAGGACGAUAAUGACGGUACUAGAGGAGGAAGCCACGGCUAACUACGUGCCAGCAGCCGCGGUAAUACGUAGGUGGCGAGCGUUGUCCGGAUUUACUGGGCGUAAAGGGUGCGUAGGCGGAUGUUUAAGUGGGAUGUGAAAUCCCCGGGCUUAACCUGGGGGCUGCAUUCCAAACUGGAUAUCUAGAGUGCAGGAGAGGAAAGCGGAAUUCCUAGUGUAGCGGUGAAAUGCGUAGAGAUUAGGAAGAACACCAGUGGCGAAGGCGGCUUUCUGGACUGUAACUGACGCUGAGGCACGAAAGCGUGGGUAGCAAACAGGAUUAGAUACCCUGGUAGUCCACGCCGUAAACGAUGGAUACUAGGUGUAGGGGGUAUCAACUCCCCCUGUGCCGCAGUUAACACAAUAAGUAUCCCGCCUGGGGAGUACGGUCGCAAGAUUAAAACUCAAAGGAAUUGACGGGGGCCCGCACAAGCAGCGGAGCAUGUGGUUUAAUUCGAAGCAACGCGAAGAACCUUACCUGGACUUGACAUCCCUUGCAUAGCCUAGAGAUAGGUGAAGCCCUUCGGGGCAAGGAGACAGGUGGUGCAUGGUUGUCGUCAGCUCGUGUCGUGAGAUGUUAGGUUAAGUCCUGCAACGAGCGCAACCCUUGUUAUUAGUUGCUACCAUUAAGUUGAGCACUCUAAUGAGACUGCCUGGGUAACCAGGAGGAAGGUGGGGAUGACGUCAAAUCAUCAUGCCCCUUAUGUCCAGGGCUACACACGUGCUACAAUGGUAGGUACAAUAAGACGCAAGACCGUGAGGUGGAGCAAAACUUAUAAAACCUAUCUCAGUUCGGAUUGUAGGCUGCAACUCGCCUACAUGAAGCUGGAGUUGCUAGUAAUCGCGAAUCAGAAUGUCGCGGUGAAUACGUUCCCGGGCCUUGUACACACCGCCCGUCACACCAUGAGAGCUGGUAACACCCGAAGUCCGUGAGGUAACCGUAAGGAACCAGCGGCCGAAGGUGGGAUUAGUGAUUGGGGUGAAGUCGUAACAAGGUAGCCGUAGGAGAACCUGCGGCUGGAUCACCUCCUUUCUA
rnacentral:rRNA from 1 species